AGUCAACAUGCCCAAAGGACGUGGAUAACCUCGGGAAACUGAGGAUAAACCGCGAUAGGCCAAGGUUUCUGGAAUGAGCCCUGGCCGAAAUCUAUAUGGCCUUUGGAUUGGACUGCGGCCGAUCAGGCUGUUGGUGAGGUAAUGGCCCACCAAACCUGUAACCGGUACGGGCUUUGAGAGAAGGAGCCCGGAGAUGGGCACUGAGACAAGGGCCCAGGCCCUAUGGGGCGCAGCAGGCGCGAAACCUCUGCAAUAGGCGAAAGCCUGACAGGGUUACUCUGAGUGAUGCCCGCUAAGGGUAUCUUUUGGCACCUCUAAAAAUGGUGCAGAAUAAGGGGUGGGCAAGUCUGGUGUCAGCCGCCGCGGUAAUACCAGCACCCCGAGUUGUCGGGACGAUUAUUGGGCCUAAAGCGUCCGUAGCCUGUUCUGCAAGUCCUCCGUUAAAUCCACCUGCUCAACGGAUGGGCUGCGGAGGAUACCGCAGAGCUAGGAGGCGGGAGAGACAAACGGUACUCAGUGGGUAGGGGUAAAAUCCAUUGAUCUACUGAAGACCACCAGUGGCGAAGGCGGUUUGCCAGAACGCGCUCGACGGUGAGGGAUGAAAGCUGGGGGAGCAAACCGGAUUAGAUACCCGGGUAGUCCCAGCUGUAAACGAUGCAGACUCGGCGAUGGGUUGGCCUCGAGCCAACCCAGUGCCGCAGGGAAGCGGUUAAGUCUGCCGCCUGGGGAGUACGGUCGCAAGACUGAAACUUAA
rnacentral:rRNA from 1 species